AGCAGUUGAAUUGAUCACUGUCGAAACAAGAAUCUCAGAGGCCCCGCCUUUAAAAUCUGUAAAUACUGUAACUUAUUCGGACCUUUCGCGAUGAAGCUUUUAUAAAAUAAGCUAUAUCUAUGAAGCACAGAAGCAACAUGGAAACCAGUACAGUGAUAAUACUCUUCGCGAUUUUGUCGCAAACGACAGCGCUGCUGACAUCACCACCGAGGAUUGUGAAGCAGCCGACGGUUGAAGAAUUGCUGUUCCAAGUGGCACAGCCGGGGGAGGUGGACAAGCCUUUCAUCAUCGAAUGUGAAGCCGAGGGAGAACCCGCACCCAAGUACAGAUGGAUCAAGAACGGCAAGUCGUUCGAGUAUACGAGUUACGAUAACAGAAUAUCCCAGCAGCCUGGACGGGGCACGCUGGUGGUCAGUCAGCCGAGGAACGAGGACUUGGGACAGUACCAGUGCUUCGCCUACAACGAGUGGGGCACGGCUACAUCCAACUCGGUGUUCGUGAGGAAGGCGGAGUUGAACUCCUUCAAGGAGACGGACGGACCUCAGAAAACGAUCACCGCUCAAGAAGGCCUACCGUUCAAACUGACCUGCGAACCGCCGGACGGCCAUCCCAGCCCUAACGUGUACUGGAUGCUGCAAGGGGAACAGGGCCAGCUGAAGACUAUCAACAAUUCCCGAAUGACCUUAGACCCCGAGGGCAACCUCUGGUUCUCGAACGUGACCAGGUUCGACGCGAGUGUGGACUACGCCUACACGUGCGCCGCUAAAUCCGUGUUCAGGAACGAGUAUAAGCUCGGCAAUAAAGUGUACUUGCAAGUUCAGCAGACUGGAAUCUCACCGACGUCGAACAAACACCAGCCCGUGUUGCAAUACGCGACCAGGAGGGUCGAGAAGGCUUGGAGAGGGAAGAAGGUGGAGCUGUACUGCAUAUACGGCGGGACGCCGCUACCUCAAGUGGUGUGGAAGAAAGAGGGCCGAACGAUAAUAUCCUCGCAGCGGAUAACUCAAGACAACUACGGCAAGACGCUCGUCAUCAAACGUGCCGGCUACGAGGACCAGGGGACGUACACCUGCGAAGUCAGCAAUGGAGUCGGAACAGCCGAGACCUACUCGAUACAACUCAACGUUGAAGCGGCUCCGUUCUUCAUCGAGGAGCCCCAGUUCCAGAACCUGGCGGAGGGCGAGACGGCCGUCAUCCAGUGUAGGGCGGGCGGCACACCAGAGCCGACCAUCUCGUGGGUCCACAACGGGAAGCCCAUAGAGCAGGCCGAGAACAACCCCCGCAGGCAGGUCACCGCCAACAGCAUCACCAUCACCGACCUCGUGAAGAAAGACACCGGCAACUACGGGUGUAACGCGACCAACUCGAACGGUUACGUCUACAAGGACGUGUUCAUCAACGUGCAGUCCAUCCCUCCUGAGAUCAAGGAGGGUCCGGACAACCUGACGGUGGUGGCGGGGUCCACGGCCGCUCUCAGGUGUCGCGUGUUCGGAGCACCCCGACCCAUCGUCAGGUGGAUGAGAGACGACAUCGACGUCACUGGCGGCAAAUACAACAUAACGAAGGAAGGUGACCUGGUGAUAGCCGAUGUUUCCUUCACCGACGUCGGCACGUACCAGUGUUACGCCAAGAACAAGUUCGGAGAGAAGUCCGCCUUCGGAUCGCUCACUGUUAAGAAACGCACAGUGAUAACUGACAAACCCGAACCGUACGAGGUCGCGGCGGGGUCGUCGGCGACCUUCAGGUGUAACGCGAACGCAGACGACUCCCUCAAGCUAGACAUCAUAUGGCUGAACGACGGACAACCGAUAGACUUCGACAACCAGCCGCGGUUCCGGAUCACCAACGACUACUCGCUGCUCAUCUCCGACACCAGCGAGCUGGACUCCGGAGAGUACACCUGCAUAGCGAAGACCGCCAUCGACGAGGCGAGGGCCCAGGCCACGCUCACCGUACAGGAUAAACCGAACCCCCCAGCUCUAGAGGGCAUCGAAUGUCACGAGCGCACCGCGACUCUCCGCUGGCACUCGAUGGGUGACAACCGCGCUCCCAUCCUCCGGUACUCCAUCCAGUAUAACACGAGCUUCACGCCUCACGCUUGGGACCUCGCCUCCGACAACGUCCCCGCCAUCGACACCUCGUGGACGGUGCAGCUCAGCCCCUGGGCCAAUUAUACGUUCAGGGUGACGGCGUCCAACAAGAUCGGCGCCUCGGCUCCGUCGUCUCACUCGGACGUGUGCACCACGCAACCAGACGUGCCUUACAAGAACCCUGACAAUGUGGAGGGGAAAGGAACAGAUCCUACCAACAUGGUCAUCACUUGGUCGAAAAUGCCUCAAAUCGAGCACAACGGUCCUGGAUUUUACUAUCUAGUGUCGUGGAAAAGAAACAUCUCAGGGGCGGCGUGGAGCGAGGAACAAGUACGGGACUGGGCCACGACGGAGUACGUCAUACCAAACACACCCACCUUCAAACCUUACAAGAUCAAGGUUAUUGCUGUCAACUCGAAGGGAACAUCAAACGUCGCUCCGGUGGAGGUCAUAGGUUGGUCGGGCGAGGACACUCCUCAACAGGCUCCCUCUAACUUCACUUUAGUACAAGUCACCACUGGAACCACGGCUCUGCUGUCCUGGAACCCGGUACCGGCCGAGUCGGUGAGGGGACACUUCAAGGGUUACAAGAUACAGACCUGGAUCGACGGCGAGGAGGACCGGCCCAAGGAGAUCCUCAUCAAAGCGGACGCCUCCAGCACACUGGUCACCAAAUUCAAACCCUUCAAGAAGAAUAACGCUCGGAUCCUCGUUUACAACGGAAGGUUCAACGGACCACCCAGCGAGACUCUUAGCUUCAACACACCAGAAGGCAAGCCCGGCACGGUGCGAUCCUUCGAAGCCUAUCCCAUAGGCUCCUCGGCCAUGCUUUUGAAAUGGGACAAACCUUUAGACGAGAACGGUAUUCUGACCGGGUACAAGAUAUACUACCAGAAGGUGACCGGCACGGCGCUCGGGCCGCUGCAGGAGAGGAAGAAGGAGAUCGAUCCCAAGUUCGACCGCGCCAAGCUGGCGGGGCUCGAGCCCAACACCAAGUACAGAAUAGAGAUACGGGCCAAGACGAAGGCCGGGGAAGGGGACAAAUAUUACGUGGAGCAGACCACCAGGGCCAUGGUCACGGCCGUGCCGGACGUGCCGGUGUUCGAGACCAGCACUCUACCCGCCAAGGAAGGAACGGCGCACAUACUGGUCAGGUGGAUACCUUCCCUGGAAGGACAUGCGGGGACGCACUUCAUCGCCUGGUAUAGACUGAGGGGAAGACCCGACUGGCUGCAGAGCAACGAGGUCACAGAGGACGACUACGUCAUACUGACGGGACUCGAACCCGGACUCGAGUACGAGGUCAAGGUCACCGCUCACGACGGAGACUACUACAGCACCAGCGACGUUAAGGUCGUCGACACAACCAUCGACGGCCCCCACGUCCGCCCACAAGAGGCGACGGCUACCGCGGGCUGGUUCAUCGGCGUGAUGGUGGCGCUCGCCUUCCUGCUGCUGGUGCUGGUGCUGGUGUGCGUCGCGCGCCGCAACAGGGGCGGCAAGUACGACGUGCACGACAGGGAGCUCGCGCACGGGCGGGCCGAGUGCCCCGACGCCGCCUUCCACGAGUACACGCAUCCAUUGGACAACAAGUCGCGGCACUCCAUGAGCAGCGGCACCAAGCCCGGCCCCGAGAGCGACACGGACUCCAUGGCGGAGUACGGCGAGGGCGAGACAGCGGGCAUGAACGAGGACGGGUCCUUCAUCGGUCAGUACGGCCGCAAGCGCCGCCCGCCGCCUGGUCAGACAGACUCGGCCUCGCAGGCCUUCGCCACGCUCGUUUAACCCCCCUCCCCGUCCCCUCCCCUCCCCACCAUUCAACACUACGCUAUACGACACUGGUCCUAACACGUAGUGCCAUUAAAAAGUAAUCUCCAACAAGGUCGUAUGUUUUAAGUUAAAAAUGUUCGAUCUUUGUAACCGUUCCCCAUUCGGCCAGGUUGUGUUAUAAUGUAAUAAUGUCUCGCGUUAUUUAUUAUGUGACGGACGCCGUCUUUACUGCGCUAUUUCAAAAAUAGUGUAAUAAAGAGUAGGCCGUUCGCUGUACCGGCGCCGUCUCCUGUGUCGCGGUUAGGUUAGUCUCUAAGUACACGUUAGGAGUAAGAGGUCUAGGUUGUAAAAAGAUUAUACACAGAGAGUGAGUCCCAGUGAAUGUUUCUACUUAUAUAGUUUAUUGUACACGGGCACGAGCUUUGCGUUAUGUUUUUUUGUUGUGCAUUUAUGUUUAACGUAGUGUAGUGAUCCAUAUAUCCGUCCCUGUGUUCCCCGUAGCCCCGCACGAGCCGCCAUUUUGUUUGUAUUGUGAGGUCGCUUCACCGAGGACGGUUCUUUCAUCGGUCAGUACGUGCCUGGUGCGCGCGUUCUGGCUCCUCCCCCUCCCGCGCCCGCGCCCGCCGCCCCGCCUACAUACGUGUAGACCUUCUACGACCGGCUACGACCAGCUACGACCGGCUACGACGCACGUGCACUCAUAUUAUUUGCGAGCUGUAUUCCGUACUGUGUGAACUGAUACGCCAAGCCGGUGGUGGUCACGCGGUCCCUCGGCCGCCGGUCGGUGGCCGGCGCUCGAGUUCAUCAGGUCGUCUGUGUUUAGUUUAAAUUUAUUAGCGAAGGCUUCACCGACGCCUCCCGCGCCCGGUGUACCGGCGUUAGUGAAUUGGAUUUACGAUUCUCGUCGUCGGUUCGGUUUCAAUACUUGUUUAUUUGAGACUGAUUUUAUGUAACCGAUAGUAGAGCGUGUAAUGUAAUCUCAAUUAUUAAAGUUGUAAUAUGUAUCGGAAGGAGCGAUGCGGCCGUCUCUGGCGAGGCGGCAGGCGGCAGGAUGCGAACAUUGGAUUAUAAGGAGAGCUAUUUUUGUCACGAUUCUAUUAAAUUAUAACGUAUAGCCAUGGAUGCGGCGGUCAGGCUCGCGACUCGCUCGCGCCGCGGCGAGCUCCUGUCUCUAUGUACACGCGUAGCGGUAUCCCUGCACCGUGACCAUUAUUUUUGUAUCGGAUGCAUAUCUUUCUACACUCGAAUACUAAACACUCUAGGACCAUGAAAUAUAUUUUUUAAAACCUUUAAUAUUAUAAUUCCCGACUCGGACACGUUAUUCUUCUAUUUAUAUGUACAGUAGUCGUACAGUAGCAGUAGCUCGGCACACUUACCUCUAUAUGAUUGUAUAAGUUGAGUGACGUCACUUCCUCGUCCAGAUCCAGUCCAUUUUCUCUGUGAAUGUCUCGGUUUUUGUGAUCCUGCUAUAGAUAUAUUUUGGUAUUGCAGCGUGACCGCCGCCGGCUGGUGCUUAGCGGGUGGUGGGGGUGGUGGGGGUGGCCUCGUACAUCUUGUUUGUAAGCUACCCUCGCAUCGUAUCGCUGUGUCGUCGUGUGACGUCACACGGGCGCGUAUCCGUGACCGUAGUAAUCUCCGGAGGAAUCUCAUCCGCGUCUGUUAGUGUUAAGAGUUUCGUGUUAUCUAAUAUUAGGCAGCUAAGCUAUGGCGUUCGCUUUCCGCUCUCCCGGCGCAUUAUUAUUUAUAUAUUGACUCUGAUAGCGUUCGUGUUUAUGUAUAUUUGAUAUUUAUCGGCCCGCCUGUGAGGCGAGGCUCCUAUUGAAUACAUUCCACGGUCUAACCACUGUAAUAGUCCCCUUCGUUCAGAUGUGAUCUGCGGGUCUCGCCGUGUGCCGCGCGCGCUCUCACCCUGUAACUCAUUAUUACAUUAGUGGACUCUGUUAUCUCGGCCCCUUUAAGUUGUUUGUUAAGGAGUUUCUGUCUAUUGUCUAGUAAGAAUUAUAAUAUAUGAAUAUAUAUAUAUGUAUAUCUCAGGGACGCCUCGUCCGUCGUCGGAGGUGGCGUCUCUUUAUUCGGUAGCUUCUUUUGUAUGUAACACUCUGUUGAUGAUUGACUUCUCUGUCGGACCUUGUUAACAUUAUAACUGUCGAUUGUCUGUUGGACUGUUGUUGGUGUUGAUGUCGGCGACGAGCUCGCCCGGUCACUGCCUUAACUCUGCGUGCGUAUGUUAUGUCCGAUGUGUUCAUUGCUGUAUUCUAUCUCCGUUACUCGACACUCGCCCCGUUCGAAUAUUUCCCGACCGUAGACGUUUAAAUUUUUUUGAUAAUCUAUCCACAGUACACGUGCACAAUAUAAGAUGAUACGUCACAAGAUUUUUUUUCUUUACCGAAUUACUUCGAAACCAUGACACUAGGGCGGUCUUAUAAAGAUGGUCAUUAUUCGAUCGCAUCUAUAAUCUGUGUAUUGUAUGACAAAUGACAAACGAUUUUAGUGAAUAAGUCCCGUUGUAUUUAUGAUUAAGACGCGAUCUUUUUGCAUACGAACGAUUGUUAUUUAAUAUAGAAAACGAUGGUUAAAGACUUAUGGCGGUUAUCCCGGAGCGCUUCACGCGACGUGUUGCUCGGGUUGGUGUGUUCGCGUCUUCAUUAUAAGUACGGCCGCCACCCGACUAGUGUUGCAUUUAUUUCUGUAUAAUCUGUGAGCGGUGUCAGAUGUAUCUGUAAUUGGCGCGUCAAGAGUUCUGUUAACGAUUUAUUUCUCAUUAAGUGACGGUAAUUUAUUGUACUAUGAUGGAUAUUUUUUUAUGUUGCAUAGAAAAUAAAUUUUAAGAAAUUA